CGGGACGGGUGGAGUAAGUGUCGUAGGGAAACGUACGCCGUGAGUGGGAGGGGAAUAACUACUAGGAACGGUAGCUAAUACCGCAUAACGUCGCAAGACCAAAGAGGGGACCGUUCGGGCCUCUUGCCGUCGGAUGUGCCCAGAUGGGAUUAGCUAGUAGGUGGGGUAACGGCUCACCUAGGCGACGAUCCCUAGCUGGUCUGAGAGGAUGACCAGCCACACUGGAACUGAGACACGGUCCAG
rnacentral:rRNA from 1 species